ensembl:lncRNA
GCGAAGUGAGGCUGGUGCAAGUCUUGGCAUGGCUGUCCAAGGUUGCAUGUUGCGGAGAUUAACACCGAUUCUCAUGAAUAAAGAGACGGCGAAGGAGGAGUUCUUCCCUCAAGGACACUUCUGGGCUGGAACACAAACAAUUAACAGAAAGACGUGAGAUUCUUGACAUCUUCCUUUUUCCACAAGCUGCAGAGUGGCAGCGUUAUCCGCCAGCAUUCAAACAUGUUUGUAUACACACUCAGGGGGCACCUCUUCAUGCUGACUUUGCUGAUAGCAGAAAUAAAUUCAGAGACCCAUCAGUCAGAAAGAUAACUUGGGACUGAUGAAGCCCAGAGAUGUGUGAGCUGCCAUCCAUGGCUCAUCUGGCCCAUGACGGCCCCCAGGCGACAGCUGUCACCAGCAGAGCAGACCUCCUGCUCCUGGCUGCGGUUACCAUUGGGCUGAGGCCAGCUAAUGAGGACAUUAUCAGAUCAGUGUCUUCAGCCUGACACAAGCCUAGCCGCCAGCACAACUGAUUCGACCUUUUCCCACCUGCUCUCAAGAUGAACGACCAGGAGCUUCACACAAUAUAGUCACAGGAGAAGGGAGGUCAUGGAUAUUGUAUAUUAUUCCCAGGAAAUGAAUAGCUUCAGAGAUGAAAAAGGAAGCCAGUGUGAGUCAUGAUGUGCAGCAUUGUAAAAUUUC